rnacentral:lncRNA from 1 species
AAUUCCUUGAUAUUAUUUUCAGUGAUGCUCAAGAGAGAAAAGAGUUUAUUUUUUUCUGUCGGAUCAUUAAAGGAUCCCACAAAAUUCAGAUGAAACAAAUUGUCUCCCAAAACAGUCAUUUCCUAAAUAUUUCAAAAACAACUAGUCACCCAAAUUAUUACAGAACAUGCUACAUUAAAGGACUCUCACAUAUUGCUGAUUUUCUUCAUGUAACGUUUGUGCACCUGUUCCAUCCAACAAAAUAAUAUGUUAUUUCACCUAAUAUUAAAAUAGUGUCACAAAAUAAGAUACAACUAUGCUGAUGGUAAUUCUGUUAGCAACAAUAUAUUGCCAGUAUGCUUUGCAAUCACAAUUUAGGAGGUAAUGUGAUUUUGCAUAUUGUUUAGUAUUAAUAGGGAAAGUUGUAUACAAGUAAUGAGAUUCCAGGUUUUCUUUUUGUCAAUUUAGUGGAAGGAGGAGAUUCCUUGUUAGGGGUGAAACCCUCUUUGGUUAGUUUUGUAGUAAAAUCUGUCCUAUAUCUAGAUUCUAUCAGUAAUCAUUAAUAAACUUUGUAGCAUUGAUGCUUCUGAUUAAAGGUGUGUCCACUAUCCGACAGAUGUUGGUAUUAUACACCGACACGACACUGACACAUGUUACCUUCAGUCACUUCUAUUUUUUCAAACUAUUACUAUCGUCUGUGUGUAUGGGUAUGUGUCUAUGUCAAUGCUACAGAUGAUAAAUCAAGAAUUUUUUGGUUGAGCUCUAGAGUCCAAUGAUUUGGUUGGACCCACGGAAUGCCUUUGAGUUUGACAAGGAUGGACUCAAGCAGAAAGACUGGCGAAACAUGGAAGACAUGAAUGCCAAGAUGCAAAGUUUGAAUUAUACCACGAGGAUCAAAUGUGAGAUUUUGGAGAAAUGAGCGAGAAACUUGACAGUGUGGAUGGCAUUCUUCAAUUUUUGAAGGAUUUAGCUUAGCGAAAUGAGGCUAGCUUGCACAAAGUUCUAACAAUGUUUGAAAUAAUUAAACGCAUGAUCAAAGGAAUUUUGAUGAUCAAAGGCAUUUUGAUCUUGAUUAAGUGAACCUUAAAGAUGAUAUUCCAAAUGAGUAUAAGAAGGCUUUUUAGAAAGAUUAAUUGCCUAAAUUUGAUUUAAAUGGUUCUGAUGGGUGGCUAGCUAAGGCUGCAAAAGAUAUUUGAGAUCCAAAUUAUCAAAGGGGUAAAGGUUUAAUUGGCCUUCAUAUGUAUGGAAGGCAGUGUUAUCUAUGGCGGAUCGCGGACAUCCGAAAACCCACCAGAAUGUCUUGGUGCUAUCAUCUUUCACAAAUUGCCCAUGGCUGUUGUCUUAAAAUCUGCCACCAUAAUCCACUAUGGCUGAUGGAAGUAACUGCUAUUCAUAGAGGUAGGUAUUAAAAGAGAGACGGAAAAAUUGAAAAAAGAAACAAAAACCAUACAGAAACUACAAGAUUAAGAACCAAUGAGUUCAAGAGAAGUAUGGAAUAGUACUUGGUAAGAAGAAGCGAAAUGGAGGCACUAUAGUUGUCGAGUUUGUAUAAUCUUUGAUCACAUGAGAAGAAAACCAAUGGAGGCACUAUAGUAGUCGAGUUUGCAUAAUCUUUGAUCACAUGAGAAGAAAACCAAUGGAGGCUCGAAUAACAAUGAGAUCAAAUAGAAGACAGUGUAAUUAGAACUAGAAGGGUAAACCAAUAGACGGCAUGGUAUGAUUAGACGAAUUUUUUCAAAACAAAAUGGUUUGGUUUUUGAUUGACCCCAACACACUCAAUUCACUCAUGCAGCUAAUCCUGCCAAAUAAAACAAAACAUGGCUGUAAUUUCUGUAUUGCUUCUGCACCACUAACAGAAUUAUCACAGGGAAGCCCUAUGGUCGUUGCAUUCUUUGAAAACAAUAAAUACUAAACAUUCUUUAUUGAUAAAAUGCAUCCCAGUACAUAAUUGGCCCCUCUUCAACUGAAAAUUUUCUUAGUAAUUUUUUUUUAAGGCUUAGUAUUCGGCCUUGCGACUGACUAAUCCAAGGGAAUCAAUCCCACCGUCCACUUGUGGAACCCCAUUUAAAGCCAAAGCAAAGUUUUGUAUGAACUAACCCAAGACAAGAAUUAUUUGCACCUAGCAGGAUUCGAACCUGAGACCUUGAGAGGAGUACACUAUCAGUACCCAAGCCUUCACCAACAGGCCAACCCCAGAGGUUUUCUCCAUACAGAAUUACCUGCUGCUCUGAGCUAAUAUGUUUCAAAAUGCUUUUAAUUACUUCCAUAAGUCAAGAAUUCCCAACAUUUUCUCUCAAAUAAAUAUACAAAACCUGUUAACAUAUCUUCAACCCUAUACCAUACAAGUAAAAUCCCACAUUUCUGCCAAAUGAAUGAUAAAAACAGUAAAGACAUAAAGAGAAAGAAAGCACUGAAAACAUAAAGUUAUAGAACUAGAAACCCUCAAAUUCUCCCCUAAAUACAACAUGCAACCAAAUUUAAGGCUUCAAAUACAUCAAAUUAAAUGCAUCAAUACUAAUCUCAAAAUGAUAUUCUUCACCGUCGUAUAAACUACACAAAAGACCAGAAAACUCAUACUAAAGAACUCGUAAGAGUCAGAAACAAAGCAGCAGCAAUAGUGAUGAAAUCUACAUCAACCUGAAAUUCUAGAAUUGUACAACACCAAUCUCCUAUAUCAACAACAUUUCAAAACAAUCCUAAUAUCACUAUUAACCUGAAACGAUCUUACGAUUUCAGUACCAAAUUCGAUAUUUCUUCAUUUCACAAACUAGAUCGGUGAUUCAAUUUAACAGUGAAAUCGUAGAAUCAAACAGAAUGCAUUAUUGAAGAAAUGGUUUACCUAAUUGCCAGUGGCGGAGGCGUGUUUGUCGGCGUAAUUAGGAGGAGAGUAGACGAGCGCAGCCACCAUGGCUCCCGGUAACACGCCGUAUCUCGCCAACGCUGCAACUUUGGUGACCACUGCUUUUCCCUUCAUGAACGCCAUAGCCGAAACUUCACGGAAUCAGAUAGAUCGGGUUUUCUGUUUUGAUAGAUGAAAAUCGGAUUAUGAAGAAGACGAGAAUUUUUAUUUUUAUAUUUUUUUUUGGUAGAAAAAAAGUGAGAUUUUGAAUAGAAUAUUGAUUAAGAUUUUAUUGGGCUUAAACUUUAGAAAAGUAAGAGAAAUUAAUUUGAACCCAAUGUACUUAUAUUUCCACCCCAAAUUCAAAUUGAUCGUUUUAAUUAACUUGAAGUGAAAGUUUUUAAAUUUUGGAUUUAAUGGGGAUGCAUUUAUAUUGUAAAAAAAUUUAUACUAUUGUCCAAUAAAAAUAUAUUAUUUUAUUAUAUUAUAUAAAUAAUUUAAAAUUUUUAAUCAGAUUUAACGAAAUACAUUAUUGUCAUUGGUUGACUGUGUAAAAUUAAUUUAUAAUAGUCGUGCAUCAUCAAUUUUCUCUUAAAUUUUUACUAAUUAAUACAAAAAAAAUUAUUAAAAAUAGCAGUAAAUAAAUUUCUACAAUAAAGAAGUUGCUUCCAAUAUAUUUAUAGGGUAGUGAGAGACAAGAUAUUUGUGUUUUAAAUGUACAUGUAAAAUAAUUUAUAGUUAAGAAGAUAUUAUAAAUAUUUACAAAAAAAAGAUUUUUUGUAAAAAUAUUAUUGGGUGUAGAUUAAUCGUGGUGGAUGAAUGAAGCGUGUUAAUAUUGGGUUUGAUGUUAAUAAUACAUCCUAAGCAAUGAAGCGCUUAAAGAGUGUGGUGAAUAGUUUGACUGGGUGAAUGAUAUAGUUAGUGAUGAAUUUAGAAAAGUUUGUUAGUUAGUUACUUUGAUGUUUAAGAGUUUAUUAAUUAAUCCAGAAAUCAUUUAACUAUAUAUAGUUUAAUGUUGUCUUCCAUUCAAAUUAAUGCAUGAGUUCUAAACCAUUACUUAUGACUCAAACUUUAUUCUUUGAUUUUCUAUUUUUUGAUUUUGCUCUUUUGUUUCUUUGUUACUUGCAUUGCACGUAACAGCUUUGUUGCGUCAUUAGUUGACAUCUAGAGCCUGGUUGCUAAACAUCAAAGGAUUGGUGUUGAUUCAUAGGAAAACUUUAGUGAUUUUGUGAGGGAAACACUUGGGAAACAUUGAGGGAAGAGUGAAUUAAAAUGUUUCUUGCAAUAGAAGCAAGAUGAAUGCAAAUUGUGGUUUUUCAUCCAAUAUCCUGAUUCUUGAUGGAAGCAACUGGGUAAGGUGGAAUGUAUUAAUGAAAUCAUUAUUUGGAACACAAGAUGUGAUUGAAAUUAUGCAAGAUGGCUAUGAAGAAUUAGGUGAAGAUAUUAUUAAUGCACAAAGAACCACUUUCAAAGAAUUAAGAAAGAAGGAUUAUAAGACAUUAUUUUACACUCAAUAGAAUGUGGAUUCUUACUACAUUGAGAAGAACUUGAAAGCCACCAGAUCGAAGGAAGCAUGAGAUAUGUUAGAAAAUUACCAUAAGGGUGGAGAAAAGGUGAAACAACUGAAGCCAUAGCCACUAAGGGAAAAAAAAAAGCUUAUGCAAAUGGAAGAGAAUCAGAAAAUUAGUGAUUAUUUCUCAAAGUUUAUUACUUUGGUGAAUCAGAUGAAGACAUGUGGUGUAUAGUUCAUUAGAAGAACAUGAAUUUAUGGUGAUUGAUAGAGGCGCUGAAAGACAAGGCUAACGAGUGAUGAAAAAGAAUGGAAAUGAAAAGAACGUCAAAAAGAAAGGAACAUGGGGCUUCAAGAAUUCAAACUGGUUCAAUGUUGCUAGAUAAAAGUAUGAAGAAAAAGCUUAAUCCUUUAAGAGAGGAUGAGGAUCAAGAAAGAAUCAUACCAAAAAAAAGAUUUUUAUAAAAUCAAGAUGCAAUGAUGCAAUUGUGAAAAACAUGAUCACUUUGCAAAUGAUUGUUGGUAUCAAAAUGAAUGAGGAAAUAAAUGUAAAAAAAAAGAGAUGAAGAAGUCAAUAUAGCUCAUGAUGAUGGUUAUGAGUCUGAGAUAGUUUUACUUAUGGCUACCACAUGUGAAGGGAAUCCAAUGUGUGAGGAGUGGUACUUGGAUUCAAGAUACUCAAAUCACUUGACAAGAUGUAAGGAAUAGCUUACUAAUUUAGACUCAAGCAAGAAGAUUAAUGUAAAGCUUGCAAAUGACAAAUACCUUGGAGCAGCAAGUAUUGGUGAUAUAGUGAUCAAAAGUAAGAAUGGAAAGGGUGUUUUGGAUGAAACGCAAUAUGCAAAGCAUAGAAUAAUUGGUGGGAAAAGUCUUCUCAAUAACAAUGAUUGAAGAUGCACUUCAACAGUUUGUUAAAAGUUAAAAGUUGAUUUUGAGUUCUUAAUUGUCAAAAUAUAGAACUUUUAAAUGCAAUAUUCAAACUACAAAAGAAGUAUGUCUUACAAGCAUUAAGGAACCAUAAUGGCUCUGGCACACAAGGUGUGAACAUCUAAAUUCUAGAAGUUUACGUAAGUUAAAAUCUAAGAAUCUAGUGCUUGGUAUACCAAAAUUGAGUGAAAGAAUUAUGACUUGUGAAGUUUGUUUAAGGACUAAGAAAAAUAGAGAACCCCUUGGUGCAGAAAUUCCUAAGAGGUCAAUAUAUGCUUUUGAAAUUAUGCAUUAUAAUAUAUGUAGUCCUCUUAAAGUACAACCAUUAGGAGGUAGCAGAUACUUCAUCACCUUUGUGAUGAACACACAAGAAUAAUGUCUAACCUUGUGCAUGUGUAACCAGUGUCACAACACAGGGCCUCAUAUGUGUGGUGGGCCUCAAAAUAAAAAUAUAUUAUAGUAUGUGAUCCCUAUACUAUGAUUAGUAUUUGUGCAAUAUCACAUCAGUCUAAAUAAAACAAUGUGUGACUAUUAUUUUAAGACAAGCUCGUCAUUUUGAAAGAGUGUCAAUUCAUUAUUUGUUUUGGUUGUUUUAGUUUUAUAUUCACAAGUGUUAUUCAUCAUUUUAAAACUAUUCCAAUUAACCAUGACACUAUUUCUUCAACUGACAACAUUAUCAUGAAAGCAUCUAGUGUAUAUCCAAUUUACUUAAUUUUAUAAAUCAUUUUAAAGCAAAUAUCUUACACUAUUAUUUUAUACACUGCAUCAAUUCAUUUUAUUUUAUAGUGAUUUGGUAUUUUUUAAUGUAUUCUUUAAAUUUUAUUUUAUAAUAAUAUAUUAAAAAGUUUAGUAAACUUAAAAUUAUUUUAAUUAAAUCGUUAUGAUUAAAUAAAUAAUAAAUUAAAUUGUUAAAUUUAAAAAGUGUUUGAUUAAUUUGACUUAAUCUAGUCUAAUAUAUGAAAUGUAGUUCGAUUGGUUUAUAUAAUUGAGUUAAUAAUUUAACGGAGGUGAAUGUACAUAGUUAAAUUCAUAACACUAGUCUAAUGUAGUAAUUAUAUAAUCAUAAUUUUUUUAUCAAAUAGUAUAGUAGUUGAGAAUUUCACUUUUAAAUAUAAAUAAGUGAGAUGUCGCAGAUUUGAAUUCACGUCCAUGCAUUUUAUAUCUUUGUACAACUAUUCUAUUAUAUCAAUUACUAAUAAAAGUUUUAUGUAAUUUUUAAAGAGAAAUUUUAGUAUAUAUGUUAUACUUUAUUUUAUUAGCGGACUCUUAUAAAACUCAGAACAUGACCUCCAAUUUGUUUGGGUCAGCCCUGACAAGAAUGUUAUGGCUCUACACCAUUAAGUUCAAAAGUGAAGCAUUUUAAGUUUUCAAAAAAUUUAAAGUCUUGGUUGAGAAGGAGAGUGACAAAGAAAUUAAGGUAUUGAGGACAUAUGGAGGUGGAGAAUAUACUUCAAAUAAGUUUGAAGCAUAUUGACUUAGCAAAAUCAUAAUGCAUAAAGUGACCUCACCCUACACAGAAUGGUACAAUGGUAUUGCAGAAAGGAGAAACAUGACCAUUUUUGAUAUGGCAAGAAGCAUGUUAAAGCACAAAAACCCGACACAUGUGUUUUAGGGUGAGGCGGUCAAUACAAGAACUUAUAUUAAUAAAUUUCCCACCAAAAAGUUGAAGAUGAAGGUGCCAAAGAGAAGUUUGGUGUGCAAGAAAUCCAUCUAUAAAGCAUUUAAAAGUGUUUGGAUCAGUCUGCUUCAAACACAUCCAUGGUCAAAAAAGGACUAAGAUUCAAGACAAAAGUAUGAAAAUGAUAUCCAUAUGAUACCAUUCAAUAGGUCCCUACAAAUUGUAUAAUCUAUUAACAAAAAGUAGACAUCAAUAGAGAUGUGAUAUCUGAUUAAUCAGAUACUUGGAAAUGGCAGACUUAAUGCACAAGAGAAAGUGAGGACAUAAAAAUAUUUGUAGAACAUGAUUAUAAUGCCAAUUUUUAUGAUGAAAUAAAUUGUGAAGGCAUUGAAACUGAUGAAACUACACACGUGGAAUCUCAUACUCACAAGAGGCCACAAAGGAGAAGGCAAGUCCCUAUAAUACUUGUAUUGAUAAAAAAAGUACAAGGUGUGUGUGUUCCAUCUGCAGAUGUAUUAUAAUUUGGGUAGUGAGGGAUUACUCACGGCGUCGAGAAUCCAUGUAUGGUGGCUUUUUAGGCUGUUUAAGGGAUCAACUUGCGUGAGGUAAAAGGCCAUAUUAGUGGCCGAUGUUGCUGGGUUGCAAGUGGGGGUUAGGUUGAUGUUGUGUUAAGGUUACUAUGAACAUAGUUCUCUUUGAGUAGUGGUAAAUGUGUAUGACUUGAGAAUCCCUUAUCCUCUUAAGAGAUACAGUAUUUAUGUGAGUCCCUUCCGCGAAGGAUUUUUACCUCCUAGACGUAGUCUUAACUGUUCCCCACUUUCUAUGGGAGGUUAUCAGCCGCAUAUCUUCUCAGAGUCAGCAAGGAUUUUCUCUCAAUUGAUUCCCACAUAAGUGGGAUCUCUUGCGCGACUCCCUUGGAUUAUUUUCUAACUUCAUUCAUUGGAAUAUCAAUUCCAUCCUAUAGAAUAUCCCACAACUCAUCAUCAAGGUCUAUAAUAUGAGUAUACAUCUUUAAAUUCCACCAUUCGAAAUCUGUAAAGUCUCCACUGAAAGUUGAAGGUCUAGCUGUAUAUUUUUUCUUUUCUAUAUUGCUAUAAUCAUGAUUUAUAGUAGCACGUGGAAUAGUAAUACCACUUUAUGAUCUAUAAAUAAUAGACAUGUUUCAAUAUAUUUUUCUCAAGAUCUUUUAUGUACCGAUGUUAAGUUUUAAGCACAAACCGUACUCUGAUGCCAAUUGAAGGUGAGAAAAAUACAAGAAGGGGGAUUGAAUUGUGUUGGUUAUUUCUUUAUUUUUGAAAUUCUUAAGUCAUAUUCUAAACUCAAUGUUAUAGAAUUUGAGUUAGUUAGAGAUAGGCAGCAGAUAUAAAGUGCAAGAAAGAAUAAACAACACACGAAGUUAUCCUGAUUCCUCUCAUAAAUCGAGAGUAAUUCAGUCCCCUUGUACUUACAAGAUAUUUUCACUAUAAUGGCAUAAGAUUGCAAUUUUUUCAAGCACAAAAGCAAGAGACUUAUUUGCUUACACACACAAGUAUAAGACUUCCUUGCUUAAACACACAAGUCUAAGACUUCAUUAUUCAAACACACAAGUCUGAGACUUUAUUGCUCAAACACACGACUAUGAAACUUCCUUUCUCACACAUAAAAGUAUGAGACUUCAUUGCUCAAAUACACAAGUCUGAGACUUUCUUUCUCUCACACAAGUAUGAGACUUCAUUGCUCAAACACACAAGUCUGAGACUUCCUUUCUCACACAUACAAGUAUGAAACUUUAUUGCUCAAACACACAAGUUUGAGACUUCCUUGCUCUUUACUGAAGGCCAUCAUCCGACUAUCCUCCUUUUGAGAGUUCCCUUUGAAGGAUUGUUCGAUCGUCAAAUACCAAUCGUUACAUAAGCAUUGUACAAACUCUUUCCCCAUUGGUUGCCUUCUUUUCCAAUGGACAUGACUUCAAUUACUUUUCUCAGGGAUGUCUCAUAUUUCUAGGGACACUGCUUCCUCUUAAGUGAGUUUUUUAGGUUUCAGGGUUUCCCAUUCCCUCCCCUAUUUUUUCCUUCCUCCUUCCCAGGUGUACUUGGUCAAGCUUCCCUUAUUUAUCAACUCUUCAAUGGAGUCCUUCAACUGGAUAUCAUCAUUAGUGUUAUGAUCGUGACUUUUGUGGAAACAAAAGUAUUUCUAUUUUUUAUCCUAUUGGACUCUUUAAGCAAAUAUGGAAGCUUAAUGUUGGCCUCUUUAAAUUUGUACUGGCACACUCAUACCAAAUAUUUCCUUUGGAAGUGUUCAAAGGGGUAUAAGAGGAACCUCUCGAUCGAGACCCCUGCUCACAGUCAUCUCUUCAACGGUUAGUAUAUUUCUCAGUGUAUUUAUCAUACUCGUGGUUUUUACCUGAGACCCCAUGACCAUCUAGGAGCUUUCCCCCCCCCCCCCCCCCNNNCCCCAAAUUAUGUUUGACCGAGCCUAGUUCAGCAAUCCGUUCAUGUUGUUCGCCUAUUCUAGCCCCAAAUUCUCAUGAAACUUACCAUCCUAUCUCAAGCCCUUAUUAAAGAUCCAAGACUUUAAGUCGUAUUCUCCAUCUUCUAACACUACAUCCACUCUGGUGAACUUGACAAUGUAUUCCGGCAAGGUUUCUUUCUUGCCUUAUGUAAUUCCACUAAGUAUCGCCAUUAUGGUUGGUUGUUUCUUCUGGGCGGUAAAUUGAGAGGUGUACACAUCAGAAAGGUCACCCUACGAGUUUAUAAUCCCGUCCAAGAGAAACUUGUACCACUUCAUGUUAGUUUGUGUUAGGAUUAGUGCAAAGAGUUUUCACUUGACAAGUCCUUCAACGUGAUAAUAAUCUAAUUGAUUAUCAAAAUGCUCGAUAUGCACGUCAGGAUCCUUGUUCCCAUUGUAGUCAGUUGGAUUUAGAGGGUACUCGCAUGUUCUCAGUAUUCUACUGUCAAGAAUAUGAGAGGACAAAGGGUUUCUCAUUCGCUCGGCCAUUAGAGAAACUACUUAAGAUCUUUUCCUCUCUUAUGUAUCGGGAGCCAAGGAACGGGUUAGAUGAGGAGCUUUUGAUAAACGUGGUUUCCGCUUCUCUCUAACGAGUCGAGGGAGGAGUCUGGUGCUUGUCGCUCCUGCGAGGCCGAAGAGAAAGUGGAACUUAUUCAUGUACCAUAGAUGCCUUGGCCGAAGUUGGAUAUGGAACAACUACAAAAUGAUCCUGAGAAGUUGUCUUACGCACAGUGCUUCCCUGAGGAGGAUAAAGUUGUAUGUUUCCUCCAAUUUUAUAAUCCCCUCAGUCAAAAUUUGGGAAUUCUUUUGCUGCAUCAUAUUGUACAUGGUAUUCAUCAUAUUAGUUGUUCCUCGUAUGCCUAAGUUUGCUUGCAAUAUCUGGAGCCCGAUGAACAUCUUCGGUGUGCAACCAUCAAAGCUUGAGGUAGAGGUCGAUUAGAAAGUACGGCGAGACAAGGGACUAAUUAGGUUGAAAAUCCGGGAGAGGUGGAAAUAUUCCUUAAACAACUCUUUGAGGAAUUACAUUUAAGUCAGUUGGAUUUGAUGGUGAAAUUACCAACACUGGAUCAUUCAAUCUUAGAGAAAGAGGAAUAUGAGGAUUCUUUUGCUUGCUUCUGCCACUGCAGCGACGACAACCUAGGCAGAUCUAGUAGACUUGGAAUCAUCCAUAAUAAGAGUUGACGAAUUUUAGAUUUCUGGUGAAGAGAUCAAUAACUCAACGACCGAAGAUCUGAGAUCUGAAUCUUUGACGUAAGAAUGAAGGUUUCUUGCCGAAUUUCAUAGAAAUCAAAAGUCAAUUCCCAUAUACCACAUCUUUAUUCCGUGAGGGAACAAAAAAUGUGAGAUGGAUCAGUGAUUUGAUUUUCAAUGCAGUGAGUUGAGCUUUCUGAUACGAAGGAGAGAGGUGUGCCUGCAAGAUUAUCACUCUUUCAAGUCAGUGAGAGAAUGAGAAAUAAUAUUACCUGUAAAAUGACAUCUUUUUUCUUUAUAUAAUAAAUAGUGGCGGAGCCAGAUAAAAAAAAUUGGGAUGGCCACUAACGUAAAAUAAAGAUUAUAAAUAAAAUGUAAAUAGUAUUUUAAAUAAAACAUUAAAGUUAAAAUAAAUACAAAGUUAAUUACUAAAAAUUUAAAUUACAUGACUUAAAACUAAUUGGAGUUGAAAUUGAAAAUUAUUCUUCUCUUGAUCACUAAAAUCCAUAGGAUAAUAUUUUUCAACUAAAGAACAAAUAGUAUCAAUGCUAAAAGCUUUAUAUCCAUCCUUAGGAGAUAAAGAACAAGAAAGAGUUCACAAAUCCAUUGCCUGCUCACUGAAUCUGCUAUUCAACUCUUGUAACUGUUUGUCAAUGGUAGUGAAAAAGAUUUCAACUUUAAAGUAAUGCUGAAUUGUGACUUGAUUCUCUUCAAGACGGGAGCGUCCAAAUCUUAUUGUUGAAUGAACAUCAUUAAGAUCAGGAAUCUCAAUACCAUGCUUUUCACAAAAAGAUACCACUUUAGUAAACAAUAUAUCUCAACCAUUUUCUCUCAAACGUUGAAUAAGAUGUUUUGUUGAACGAACCAAGUUCAUAACAUUAACUACAUCUUGAUUUUUUUUGUAAGGCUUGACAAAGCAUAUCUGUUAUUCCCAUGAUUUCUUUCAUCAAGUGAAAAAUAAAUAUAAAAUCAAAUGCCUUCAAGUAUUGUAAAAACUAUCUGCAUCCCCACGUGUAGCAUAACUCCCUCUAUCUUUUGCAAUUUUUUAAAAAACUAAACAAGUUGCUUCAUACAUGUUUGUCAAGCUAGAAAUUGAAUCGUAAUGUGAUCCCCAACGAGUAUCUCCGGCUCGUUUCAAUGUACCAACUUGAUUUGCACCUUUACCAGUUACAAUCUCAUCAAUCUCUAACAAAUAAGCAAUUUCUUCAUCAAGCUAGAAAUUGAAUCGUAAUGUGAUCCCCAACGAGUAUCUCCGGCUCGUUUCAAUGUACCAACUUGAUUUGCACCUUUACCAGUUACAAUCUCAUCAAUCUCUAACAAAUAAGCAAUUUCUUCUAAUUGGGCAGUUUGUAACUCAUCAUGACGCUUUGUAGAAGAACAAACAACAUUCACAACAAAUAUCAGUUUCUCAAAAAAUUUAUGAACAAGUUUGACUUCUCUUGAUGAUGUAACUAAUGCAAGUUGCAAUCUAUGAGCAAAACAAUGAACAUAGUAUGCAUAAGGACAAUCCUUCAUAAAGAGGGCUUGUAAACCAUUCCAUUCUCCUCUCAUAUUGCUAGCACCAUCAUACCCUUGGCCACGAAUGUUAGAAAUAUUAAGGUUAUGUCAAGAAAGUAUAUCACAUAUUGCUUCCUUAAGAGUUAAAGACGUGGUGUCUUUAACAUGUGCCACAUCAAAAAAUCUCUCUUGUAUUAAACCAACUUUAUCAACAAAUCUUAAUACAAGAGCCAUUUGUGAUUUUUUGAUCUGAUAUGAUAUUAUAGGAAGAUAAAGAUGAAUAAUAGGAAAAUUGAUUCUUUUUUCAAAAGGAAAGCAUGUGAAAUUGAAAGAGAAGAGAGAGUAUGAAGAAAUUAUAAUCCCGAAUCCGAAUCUGAAACAGUUCUUGAGAAUCCAACAAUUGAAGAGCAUCAUGGUUUUGAAAUUCUUGGAACGCGGAUCCUGGAAAAGCGUCCUCCGAUUUGGCAAUAUCCACCCAAAUCAAGUGGAUGCAAUACGAAGAGCUUAUCUGAAAAUGCGGGGUCCAUAUCAAAUUCAUUUAGAAAACUAUCCUUUGUCCGAUAACGAGGAUCAUCCGAGCAGGUUUCAACAUACUUCGUUUAGCAUAUUUCCAUCAUGGUUAGAAAUUCACCAUCUGAAGAUGCUGCAUAUUGCUUAUCAUGUUUAACUUUUUCAAGCAAAAAACUAAAGUGGACGUCCCGGAUCACUUGUCUUUAUUUCUAUGCUUUUAGAAUUGGAAGAAAGUUAGGAAUGGAAAACAUUGUUCCUUUCUUAAACACAUAGGGAAGGAUCCUGCUCACCACACAACAAUGCAAUGAAAGUUUGUCAAGAUUGUUGAAUCAAGAUGGUCAUAUUAGAAAUGUUUAUUCAAGUGCAAGUUCAAGUCAAAGAAUGAAUAACCGGUUACGACUCAAGACUUCAAUUGACAACUGUUCGUUGGUUAACACUACAAGCUUGUGCUUUUAGGGGUCACGACGAAAGUAGCAAAUCAAGAAAUCAAGGUAACUUUCUUGAGUUAUUGAAAUUUUAGCAUCCUACAAUGAUGAAGUUGUAAAAGUUGUGUUGGACAAAUGCUCCACAAAAUUGCAAGUAUACUUCACAUCAAAAUUCAAAAAGAGCUCUUGCAAAUUCUUUCUAGUAGGGUGAAAAGAGUAUUCGUGAGGAAAUUGGUGAUUCCAAAUUUUGUAUCGUUGUUGAUGAAGCUCGUGAUGAGUCAAAAAAGGAACAAAUGGCUCUUGUAUUAAGAUUUGUUGAUAAAGUGUGGUUUAAUACAGAGAGAUUUUUUGAUGUGCACAUGUAAAGACACCACGUCUUUAAACUCUUAAGGAAGCCAAUAUCGUGAUAUACUUUCUUGACAUAAACCUUAAUAUUUCUAACAUUCGUGGCCAAGGGUAUGAUGGUGCUAGCAAUAUGAGAGGAGAAUGGAAUGGUUUACAAGCCCUCUUUAUGAAGGAUUGUCCUUAUGCAUACUAUGUUCAAUGUUUUGCUCAUAGAUUGCAACUUGCAUAGUUACAUCAUCAAGAGAAGUCAAACUGUUCUAAAUUUUUUGAGAAACUGAUAUUUGUUGUGAAUGUUGUUUGUUUCUUCUACAAAGCGUCAUGAAUGAGUUACAAACUGCCAAUUAGCAGAAAAUUGCUUAUUUGUUAGAGAUUGUGAGAUCUGUAACGCUGGUAAAGGUGCAAAUCAGUUGUUACAUGAAACGAGCCGGAGAUACUCGUUGGGGCUCACAUUACGAUUCAAUUUCUAGCUUGACAAACAUGUUAUGAAGCAACUUGUUUAGUUUUUUAAAAAAAAUUGGCAAAAGAUAGAGGGAGUUAUGCUACACGUCGGGGAUGCGUAUAGUUUUUUACAAUCUUGAAGGCAUUUGAUUUUAUAUUUAAUUUUUCACUUGAUGAAAGAAAUCAUGGGAAAACGAUAUGCUUUGUCAAGCCUUACAAAGAAAAAAAUCAGAUGUAAGUUAAUGUUAUGAACUUGGUUCGCUCAAACAAAACAUCUUAUUCAACGUCUUGAGAGAAAAUGCGGUUGAGGAUAUUUGUUUUACUAACCAGGCGGUAUCUUUUUUGUGAAAAGCAUGGUAUUGAGAUCCUGGAUCUAAUGAUGUUCAUUCACAAAGAUUUGGACGCUCCCGUCUUGAAGCGAAUCAAGUCCACAAUUCAGCAAUUACUUUUAAAGUUGAAAAUCUUUUUCACUACCACUUGACAAACAGUUACAAGAUUGAAUAGCAGAUUCAGUGGGCAGGCAAUGGAUUUGUUGAACUCUUUCUUGUUCUUUAUCUCCUAAGGAUGGAUAUAAAGCUAUUAGCAUUGAUUUACUAUUUGUUCUUUAGUUUGAAAAAAUAUUAUCCUAUGGAUUUUAGUGAUCAAGGAGUAUGAAUAAAUUUUCAAUUCAACUCCAACAUUUGCAUUUGUUGCUCGUCAAGCAUCAAACUUGAAUAAUUUAUCAACAUUCAAGCAACUAUGUUUCAUGUUUGUUGCAUCUGCGAGACAGGAUGAAAUUACUUCUUGAUUGAUAGAUACUCUUAAUCUUACUCAUGAACUCUUCCCGUUUCUCUACGGUCACAACUGGAGGUCUUUAUUCAGCAAUGAAAAUUAUUAGACUAAGUGAGAAACAAGAUGGAUGUGGGUUUCUUGGAGAUAGCAUGACAGUAUAAUAUGAAAAAAAAGGGAGAUUAGUGCAGAGCAUUUAGUUUCAGAGUCAAUUAUGACGAUAUUUCAUAGUCCACUCAGAACACGUAAACAUUACUUUAAAGGUAGUUUUAAGUCCAUGUAAUUUAAUUUUAGUAAUUAACUUUGUAUUUAUUGUUAACUUUAAUGUUUUAUUUAAAAUACUAUUUACAUUUAUUUAUAAUCUUUAUUUUACGAGUGGCCAGUCAUUUUUUUUAUCUGGCUCCGCACUAUUUAUUAUAUAAAGAAAAAAAGAUGUCAUUUACAGGUUAAUAUUAUUUCUCAUUCUCUCACUUGACUUGAAAGAGUGAUAAUCUUGCCAGGCACACCUCUCUCCUCGUAUCAAAAGCUCAACUCACUGCAUUUGAAAAUCAAUCACUGAUCCAUCUCAAUUUUUUGUUCCCUCAAACGGAAAUAAAGAUGUGGGUUAUAUGGGAAUUGACUUUGAUUCUAUGAAAUUCGGCAAGAACCAAUUCAUUCUUACGUCAAAGAUUGCAAUCUCAAUUCUUCGGUCGUUGAGUUAUUGAUCCUUCACAGCAAAAUCUAAAAUUUCGUAACAUCUUAUUAUGGAUGAUUUCCAGUCUACUAGAUCUGCCUAGGUUGUCGUCGCUGCAGUUGCAGAAGCAAGCAACAAGAAUCCUUCAUAUUCCUCUUUCCUAAGAUUGAAUGAUCCAGUGUUUGGUAAUUUCACCUUCAAAAUCCAACUGACUUAAAUGUAAUCUCAAAAGAGUGUUUAAGGAAUAUUUCCACCUCCUCACCGGAUUUUCAACUAAUUAGUCCCUUGUCUCGCCUGUACUUUCUAAUCGCCUCUACCUCAAGCUCUUGAUGAUUUGCACCCGAGAUGUUCAUCGGGCUCCAGAUAUCGCAAGACAAACUUAGGCAUACGAGGAACAACUAAUAUGAUGAAUACCAUGUACAAUAUGAUAGCAGCAAAGAAUUCCCAAAUUUUGACCUGAGGGAUUAUAAAUUGGAGAACAACAUACAACUUUAUCCUCCUCAGGGAAGCACUGUGCGUUAAGAAACAACUUCUCAGGGAUCAUUUUGUUAGUUGUUCCAUAUCCACUUCGGCCAAGGCAUCUAUGGUUACAGAAUAAGGUGUCCCACUUUUCUCUUCGGCCUCGCAGGAGCGACAAGCACCAGACUCCUCCUCUCGACUCGUUUAGAGGAAGCGGAAACCACGUUUAUCAAAGCUGCCUCAUCUAACCCGUUCCGUUGGCUCCCGAUACAUAAGAGAGAAAAAGAUCUUAAGUAGUUUCUCUAAUGGCCGAGUACAGAAUGAGAAACCCUUUGCCUCUCAUUCUUGACAGUAGAAAUACUGCGAACAAUGCGAGUACCCUCUAAAUCCACUGACUACAAUAGGGAACAAACGGAUCCGACGUGCAGAUCGAGCAUUUUGAUUAAUCAAUUAGAUAUUACGCACGCUUUGAAGGACUUGUCAAGUGGAAAACUCUUUGCACUAAUCCUAACACAAAUCAACACUAGUGAUGGUACAAUGUUUCUCUGGACGGGAUUUAUAAACUGCGUUAGGGGGUGACCUUUCUGAUGUGUACACCUCUCAAUUUACCGCCCAGAAGAAAACAACCAAACCAUACCUGGCGAUACUUAGCUGGAAUUACAUGAAGGCCAAGAAUAGAAACCUUGGCGCGAUACAUUGUCAAGUUCACCAGAGUGGAUGGUAGUGUUAGAAGAUGGAAGAAUACGACUUAAAGGUCUUGGUCUUUUAAUAAGGGCUUGUAGUAUUAUGGAUGGUAAAUGUUAUGGGAAUUUGCGGGCUAGAAUACGGCGAACAACAAGAACGGAUUGCUGAACUAGGCUCGGUCAAAACAUAAUUCGGGGGGGGGGGGGGGAACCUCCGUAGAUGGUUCAGCGUCGUGGGCUCAGGUAAAAACCACGAGUAUGAUAAAUACACUGAGAAAUAUACUAACGCGUUGAAGAGAUGACUGUGGAGCAGGGGGUCCUCGAUCGAGAGGGUUCCUCUUACAUGACCCCUUUGAACACUCAAAGGAAAUAUUUGGUAAUGAGUGUUGCGCAAGUACAAUCUUUAACGAGGCCAACAUUAAUGCUCCAUAUUUGCUUAAAGAGUCAAUAUAGGAUAAAAAAUAGAAUACUUUUUUUCCCAAGAAGUGCACGAUCAUAAACUAAUGAUGAUAUCCAGUGAAAGGACCUCAUUGAAGAGUUUGAUAAAGUAAGGGGAAGCUUGACGAAGACCCUGGGAAGAGAGGAGGAAAAAAUUAGGGAGGGAAUGGGGAAAACCUGAAACCUAAAAACUUCAACUUAAGAGGAAGCAGGUGUCCCUAGAAAUAUCGAGAACAUCCCUCGAAGAAAUAGUAUUGAAGUCAUGUCCAUUGGGAAAAGAAGGCAACCAAUGGAUAAAGUUUGGUACAAUGCUUAUGUACGAUUUGGUAUUCGACGAUCGAACAAUCCUUCAAAGGGAACUCUCAAAAGGAGGACUAGUCGGAUGUGGCCUUCAGUAAGACGCAGCGACACGCUCACAACCAUUGGUGUGUUUGGCAACUCAUCACAGGUUUCAUACUUCGAGUGUGGAGGAAAGGAGUCUCAGCUUGAUGUGGUUUGAGGCAAAUGAAGUCUCAUACUCUGUGGACGAGAAAGAAAGUCUCAGACUUGGUAUUUGAGCAAUGGAAGUCCUCAUUACUUUUAUGUGUGAGAAAGGAAGUUUCAUAGUCGUGGUCGUUGAGCAAAAAGUCUCACUGCUGUGUUUGAAUAAUGGAAGUUUGACUCGUGUUUAAAAGCAAGGAGCUCUUAUACGUUGUGUUGUGAAGCCAAAUAAGGUCUCUUGACUUUCAUGUGCUUGAAAAAAUUUGCAAAUCUUAUGCCAUUAUAAGUCGGAAAGUAUCGUUGUAAGUAACAAGGGGACUGAAUAUUAGCGAACUCGCUCGAUUUAUGAGAGGAAGUCAGGAUAACUUCGUGGGUUGUUCUAUCUUGUCUUGCACUUUAUAUCUGCUGCCUAUCUCUAAACUAACUGCAAUUCGUAUAGACAUUGAGUUUAGAAUAUGACUUAAGAAUUUAAAAAUAAAGAAAUAACCUAACACAUUCAAUCCCCCUUCCUUGUAUUUUUCUCACUUCAUUGGGCUCAGAGGUACGGGUUUGUGCUAUCUAACAUCGUCACGCGUACAUAAAGAUCUUGAGAAAAUUAUUGAAACAUGUCUAUUAUUAUAACAAUCAUAUAAGUGGGUAUUUACUAUUCACACGUGGCUAUCUAUAAAUCUGAUUAUGAAUAUAGAAAAGAAAAAUAAUACAGCUAGACUUCAACUCAGUGAGACUUUACAAGAUUUCGAAUGGUGGAAUUUAAAGAUGUAUAACUCAUAUUAUAGACCUUGAUGAUGAGUUGUGGAUUUCUAUAGAGGUAUUGAUAUUUCCAAUGAAUGAAGUUAGAAAAAAAUUCAAGGGAGUCGCGCAAGAGAUCCCACUUAUGUGGGAUCAAUGAUGAGAGAAAAUCCCUUGGCUCGACUCUGAGAAGAUAUCGCGGCUGAGUAACCUCCCAUAGAAAGUGGGGAACAGUUAGACACGUCAUAGGAGGUAAAAUCCUCUGCGGAAGGGAUCUCACAUAAAUACUGUAUCUCUUAAGAGGAUAAGGGAUUCUCCAGUAUACACAUUUACACACUCAAGAGGAACUAUGUUCAUAGUAACCAACACCAACGACUCAACCUAACCCCCACUUCAACCCAGCAACAGUCGGCCCACUAAUAAUGGCCUUUUACCGUCACGCAAGUUGAUCCUUAAACAGCCUAAAAAGCCACCCAUCCAUGGAUCUCGACGCCGUGAGUAAUCCCUCACUACCCAUGAUUAAUACAUGCUCUGCAGAUGGAACACACACAACCUUGUACUUUUUUUAUCAAUACAAGUAUUAUGGGACUUGCUCUCCUGUUGUUGGCCUCGUUGUGAGUAUGCAGUUCCACGUGUGUAGUUUCACAGUUUCAAUUGCCUUCGACAAUUUAUUUCAUUCAUAAAGAAUUGGCAUUAUAAUCACUUUCUAAAACUAUUACUUUUAUGUCCUCACUUUCUCUUGUGCAUGUAAGUCUGCCAUUUCCAAGUAUCUGAUUAAUCAGAUAUCACAUCUCUAUUGAGUCUACUUUUUUUGUAAUAGAAUUAUCAAUUUGUAGGGACUAUUAUGGUAUCAUAUGAUAAUCAUUUUUCCAUACUUUGUCCAUUGAUCUUGAGUCUUUUUUUGACAUCAUAGGAGUGUUUUGAAGCAGACUGAUCCAAAACACUUUUAAAAAUGCUUUAUAGAUGAUUUCUUGCCACACUCAAACUACUCUUUUGGCACCUUCAUCUUCAAACUUUUUGGGUGGAAAUUUAUUAAUAUAAGUUCUUGAUUGUAACCGCCUCACCCUAACAACAAUGGUGUCGGGUUUUUGUGCUUUAAAACGCUGUCUUGCCCCAUAUCAAAAAUGGUCAUGUUUCUCCUUUCUGCAAUACCAUUGUUACCAUCUCAUCUGUGGUAGGGUUGAGGUUCAUUUAUGCAUUAUAUUUGCUAAUGCAAUAUCUUCAAACUUAUUUGAAGUAUAUUCUCCACCCCAUAUGUCCUCACAAUACACUUACAAUUUCCUUUGGUCACUCUCCUUCUCACCAGACUUUAAUUUUUUGAAACCUUAAAAUGCUUCACUUUUUUUUGAACUUAAUGGUUCUGUAGAGCCAUAACAUUCCUUGUCAGGUGCUGACCCAAACAAAUGGAGGUCAUGUCUGGUUUAUAUAGAGUCCGCUAAUAAAAUAAAGUCAUACACCCACUCAAUCUACUUAAAAUUUUUCUUUAAAAAUUACAAAUAACUUUUAUUAGUUAAUUGGUAUAAUAGAAUAGGUUGUAACAAGAUAUAAUGCGACUGGACGUGAAUUCAAUCUGCGACAUUCACUUAUUUAUAUUUAAAGUUGAAGUUCUCAACUACCAUACUAUUGAUAAAAAAUUUAUGAUAACUUAAUUACUACAUUAGACUAGUGUUAUGAAUAACCAUNNNNNNNNNNNNNNNNNNNNNNNNNUGAUAGAUCAUUUUCCACAUGAAGCCGGUUAUAGUCACCUUAUUAUCAGUGGCGGAAACUGAGGGGGGACGGGGAAGGCCACGACCACCCCUUCAACUUUUUAUUAUUUUUAAUUCAUAAUAUUUAAAUUACUAAAACAUCCUUAUUUUUAAUUAAAUUAAUUUUUAUUUUAUUUUUCAUUCAAAGUAGGUUAAAAUACAGAUAAGGUAAAAAACUCCUACCCUUUCCUUCUUUCUUAUAUGGGUUGCUAUCGGCACGAAUCGGGACAGAUUAAAGUGAUCGGGCAAUCUAACAGGUAAAAAACUUUAUUCUUCUCUUCUAUAAAAAAGUAACAAAUUAAAGUGAUGGUUUGAUUUGUGUUUUGAGCAUUUUAGGGUUCUUCUCUUCUUGAUGUGUUAAAAUAAUCUAUAUGAAUUUAUUAAGUCAAUUACAUAACACCUGUAAUUUACAAAUAUAGUUAUACACAUAAUAAUGUUUAUUUAAUCAUUGUGCUGCUAAUUUCUAAUAAUGAAGUGUACGGUAUUUGAAAACGGAUUAAAGUUGAUUAAUUAAAUUAUUAAUUUUUUUCUCUGUUUAAUUUUUAUGUUCUCUAAAUUGAUUUUUGAUCUGAUAUGAUAUUAUAGGAAGAGUAAAGAUGAAUAAUAGGAAAAUUGAUUCUUUUUUCAAAAGGAAAGCAUGUGAAAUUGAAAGAGAAGAGAGAGAUGGAAGAAAUUAUAAUCCCGAAUCCGAAUCUGAAACAGUUCUUGAGAAUCCAACAAUUGAAGAGCAUCAUGGUUUUGAAAAUUCUUGGGAACGCGGAUCCUGGAAAAGCGUCCUCCGAUUUGGCAAUAUCCACCCAAAUCAAUGGAUGCAAUACGAAGAGCUUAUCUUAAAAUGGCGGGUCCAUAUCAAAUUCAUUAGAAAACUAUCCUUUGUCCGAUAACGAAGGAUCAUCCGAGGAGGUUUCAACCUACUUCGUUUAGCAUUAUUUCCAUCAUGGUUAGGAUAUUCACCAUCUGAAGAUGCUGCAUAUUGCUUAUCAUGUUUACAUUUUUAGCAAAAAAAACUAAAGUGGACGUCCCGAUCACUUGUCUUAUUUUCUAUGGUUUUUAGAAUUGGAAGAAAGUUAGGAAUGGAAAACAUAUGUUCCUUUCUUAAACACAUAGGGAAGGAUCCUGCUCACCACACAACAAUGCAAUGAAAGUUUUUCAAGAUUGUUUGAUCAAGAUGGUCAUAUUUAGAAAUGUUUAUUCAAGUGCAAGUUCAAGUCAAAGAAUGAAAUAACCGGUUACGACUCAAGACUUCAAUUGACAACUGUUCGUUGGUUAACACUACAAGCUUGUGCUUUUAGGGGUCACGACGAAAGUAGCAAAUCAAGAAAUCAAGGUAACUUUCUUGAGUUAUUGAACUUUUAGCAUCCUACAAUGAUAAGUUGUAAAAGUUGUGUUGGAAUGCUCCACAAAAUUGGCAAGUAUACUUCACAUCAAAAUUCAAAAAGAGCUCUUGCAAACUUCUUUCUAGUAGGGUGAAAAGAGUAUUCGUGAGGAAAAUGGUGAUUCCAAAUUUUGUAUCGUUGUUGAUGAAGCUCGUGAUGAGUCAAAAAAGGAACAGAUCAAUUUAGAGAACAUAAAAAUUAAAAGAGAAAAAAAUUAAUAAACUUAAUUAAUCAACUUUAAUCCGUUUUCAAAUACCGGUAACUUCAUUAUUAGAAAUUAGCAGCAACAAUGAUUAAAUAAACAUUAUUAUAGUGUAUAACUAUAUUUGUAAAUUACAGGUGUUAUGAAUUGACUUAAUAAAUUCAUAUAGAUUAUUUUAACACAUCAAGAAAGAAGAAGAACCCUAAAAAUCUCAAAAACACAAAUCAAACCAUCACUUUAAUUUGUUACUUUUUAUAGAAGAAGAAUGAAUAAAGUUUUUUACCUGUUAGAUGCCGAUCACUUUAAUCUGUCCCGAUUCCGGUGCCGAUAGCAAACCCAUAUAAGAAAGAAAGGAAAGGUAGGAGUUUUUUACCUUAUCUGUAUUUUAACCUAACUUUGAAUGAAAAAUAAAAAAUAAAAAUUAAUUUUAAUUUAAAAUAAGGAUGUUUUAGUAAUUUAAUAUAUAUGAAUUAAAAAUAAAUAAAAAGUUGAGGGGUGGUCGUGGCCUUCCCACGUCCCCCCUCAGUUCCGCCACUUAUUUUUCAUUCAAAGUUAGGUUAAAAUACAGAUAAGGUAAAAAACUCCUACCUUUCCUUUCUUCUUAUAUGGGUUUGCUAUCGGCACGGAAUCGGGACAGAUUAAAAGUGAUCGGGCAGUCUAACAGGUAAAAAACUUUAUUCUUCUUCUUCUAUAAAAAAGUAACAAAUUAAAGUGAUGGUUUGAUUUGUGUUUUGAGACUUUUUAGGGUUCUUCUCUUUCUUGAUGUGUUAAAAUAAUCUAUAUGAAUUUAUUAAGUCAAUUCAUAACACCUGUAAUUUACAAAUAUAGUUAUAACACUAAUAAUAAGUUUAUUUAAUCAUUGUGCUGCUAAUUUAAUAAUGAAGUUACGGUAUUUGAAAACGGAUUAAAGUUGAUUAAUUAAGUUUAUUAAUUUUUUUCUCUGUUUAAUUUUUAUGUUCUCUAAAUUGAUUUUUGAUCUGAUAUGAUAUUAUAGGAAGAGUAAAUGAUGAAUAAUAGGAAAAUUGAUUCUUUUUUCAAAAGGAAAGCAUGUGAAAUUGAAAGAGAAGAGAGAGUAUGAGAGAAAUUAUAAUCCCGAAUCCGAAUCUGAAACAGUUCUUGAGAAUCCAACAAUUGAAGAGCAUCAUGGUUUUGAAAUUCUUGGAACGCGGAUCCUGGAAAAGCGUCCUCCGAUUUGGCAAUAUCCACCCAAAUCAAGUGGAUGCAAUACGAAGAGCUUAUCUGAAAAUGCGGGGUCCAUAUCAAAUUCAUUUAGAAAACUAUCCUUUGUCCGAUAACGAGGAUCAUCCGAGCAGGUUUCAACAUACUUCGUUUAGCAUAUUUCCAUCAUGGUUAGAAAUUCACCAUCUGAAGAUGCUGCAUAUUGCUUAUCAUGUUUAACUUUUUCAAGCAAAAAACUAAAGUGGACGUCCCGGAUCACUUGUCUUUAUUUCUAUGUUUUAGAAUUGGAAGAAAGUUAGGAAUGGAAAACAUUGUUCCUUUCUUAAACACAUAGGGAAGGAUCCUGCUCACCACACAACAAUGCAAUGAAAGUUUGUCAAGAUUGUUGAAUCAAGAUGGUCAUAUUAGAAAUGUUUAUUCAAGUGCAAGUUCAAGUCAAAGAAUGAAAUAACCGGUUACGACUCAAGACUUCAAUUGACAACUGUUCGUUGGUUAACACUACAAGCUUGUGCUUUUAGGGGUCACGACGAAAGUAGCAAAUCAAGAAAUCAAGGUAACUUUCUUGAGUUAUUGAAAUUUUAGCAUCCUACAAUGAUGAAGUUGUAAAAGUUGUGUUGGACAAAUGCUCCACAAAAUUGACAAGUAUACUUCACAUCAAAAUUCAAAAAGAGCUCUUGCAAAUUCUUUCUAGUAGGGUGAAAAGAGUAUUCGUGAGGAAAUUGGUGAUUCCAAAUUUUGUAUCGUUGUUGAUGAAGCUCGUGAUGAGUCAAAAAAGGAACAAAUGGCUCUUGUAUUAAGAUUUGUUGAUAAAGUGUGGUUUAAUACAGAGAGAUUUUUUGAUGUGCACAUGUAAAGACACCACGUCUUUAAACUCUUAAGGAAGCCAAUAUCGCUGAUAUACUUUCUUGACAUAAACCUUAAUAUUUCUAACAUUCGUGGCCAAGGGUAUGAUGGUGCUAGCAAUAUGAGAGGAGAAUGGAAUGGUUUACAAGCCCUCUUUAUGAAGGAUUGUCCUUAUGCAUACUAUGUUCAAUGUUUUGCUCAUAGAUUGCAACUUGCAUAGUUACAUCAUCAAGAGAAGUCAAACUGUUCUAAAUUUUUUGAGAAACUGAUAUUUGUUGUGAAUGUUGUUUGUUUCUUCUACAAAGCGUCAUGAAUGAGUUACAAACUGCCAAUUAGCAAGAAAUUGCUUAUUUGUUAGAGAUUGUGAGAUUGUAACGACUGGUAAGGUGCAAAUCAGUUGGUACAUGAAACGAGCCGGAGAUACUCGUUGGGGACCACAUUACGAUUCAAUUUCUUAGCUUGACAAACAUGUUAUGAAGCAACUUGUUUAGUUUUUUAAAAAAAAUUGCAAAAGAUAGAGGGAGUUAUGCUACACGUGGGGAUGCAGUGAUUAGUUUUUACAAUCUUGAAGGCAUUUGAUUUUAAUAUUUAAUUUUUCACUGAUGAAAGAAAUCAUGGGAAAACGAUAUGCUUUGUCAAGCCUUAACAAAAAAAAAUCAAGAUGUAAGUAAUGUUAUGAACUUGGUUCGUUCAAACAAAACAUCUUUAUUCAACGUUUGAGAGAGAAAAUGGGUUGAGGAUAUUUGUUUUACUAACCAGGUGGUACUUUUUUGUGAAAGCAUGGUAUUGAGAUCCUGAUCUUAAUGGAUGUUCAUUCACAUAUAGAUUUGGACGCUCCCGUCUUGAAGCGAAAUCAAGUCACACAAUUCAGCAAUUACUUUUAAAGUUGAAAUCUUUUUCACUACCCUAUGACAAACAGUUCACAGAGUUGAAUAGCAAGAUUCAUGUGGCAGCAAUGGAUUGUGGAACUCUUUCUUUGUUCUUUAUCUCCUAAGGAUGGAUAUAAAGCUAGUUUAGCAUUGAUGACUAUUGUUCUUUAGUUGAAAAAAUAUUAUUCCAUGGAUUUUAGUGAUCAAGAGAAUGAAUAAUUUUCAAUUUCAACUCCAACAUUUGCAUUUGGUUGCUCGUCAAGCAUCAAACUUGAAUAAUUUAUCAACAUUCAAGAACUAUGUUUCAUGUUUGCUUGCAUCUGCGAGACAGGAUGAAUUACUUCUUGAUUGAUAGAACUCUUAUCUUACUAUGACUCUUCCCGUUUCUUACGUCACAACUGAGAGGUCUUUAUUCAGCAAUUGAAAAUUACUUAAGACUAAGUGAGAACAAGAUGGAUGAUGGUUUCUUGGAGAUAGGCAUGACAGUAUAAGUAUGAAAAAAAAAAAGGGAGAUUAGUGCAAGCAUUAGUUUCAGAGUCAAUUAUUGACGAUUUUCAUAGUCCACUCAGCACACGUAAACAUUACUUUAAAGGUAGUUUUAAAGUCAUGUAAUUUAAUUUUUUAGUAAUUAACUUUGUAUAUUGUUAACUUUAAUGUUUUAUUUAAAAAUACUAUUUACAUUUUAUUUAUAAUCUUUAUUUUACGUAGUGGCCAGUCACAUUUUUUUUAUCUGGCUCCCGCCACUAAUUAUUAUAUAAAGAAAAAAGAUGUCAUUUACAGGUUAAUAUUAUUCUCAUUCUCUCACUUGACUUGAAAGAGUGAUAAUCUUGCAGGCACACCUCUCUCCUUCGUUCAGAAAGCUCAACUCACUGCAUUGAAAAUCAAAUCACUGAUCCAUCUCAAUUUUUUGUUCCCUCACGGAAAUAAAGAUGUGGUAUAUGGGAAUUGACUUUUGAUUUCUAUGCAAAUUCGGCAAGAACCAUUACAAUUCUUACGUCAAAGAUUGCAAUCUCAGAUCAUUCGGUCGUUGAGUUAUUGAUCUCGUUCCACGCAAAUCUAAAAUUCGUAACUCCUUAUUAUGGAUGAUUUCCAGUCUACUAGAUCUGCCUAGGUUUCGUCCUGCAGUGCAGAAGCAAGCAAAGAAUCCUUCAUUUCCUCUGUUCCCAAGAUUGAAUGAUCCAGUGUUUGGUAAUUCACCUUCAAAUCCAACUGACUUAAAUGUAAUUCCUCAAAAGAGUGUUUAAGGAAUAUUUCCACUCUCACCCGGAUUUUCAACUAAUUAGUCCCUUGUCUCGCUCGUACUUUCUAAUCGACCUCUACCUCAAGCUCUUGAUGGUUGCACCCGAGAUGUUCAUCGGAGCCCGAUAUGCAAGGCAAACUUAGGCAUACGAGGAACAAACUAAUAUGAUGAAUACCAUGUAAAUAUGAUGCAGGCAAAGAAUUCCCAAAUUUGACCUGAGGGGAUUAUAAAAUUGGAGAACACAUACAACUUUAUCCUCCUCAGGGAAGCACUCGUGCGUUAAGAAACAACUUCUCAGGGAAUCAUUUUGUUAGUUGUUCCAUAUCCAACUUCGGCCAGGCAUCUAUGGGUACAUGAAUAAGGUGUCACUUUUCUCUUCGGCCUCGCAGGAGCGACAAGCACCAGACUCCCCUCUCGACUCGUUAGAAGAAGCGGAAACCCGUUUAUCAAAGCUGCCUCAAUCUAACCCGUUCCGUUGGCUCCCGAUACAUAAAGAGAGAAAAAAGAUUUAAGUAGUUUCUCUAAUGGCCGGAGCGAAUGAGAAACCCUUUGCCUCUCAUUCUUGACAGUAGAAAUAUGGAACAUGCGAGUACCCUCUAAAUCCAACUGACCUACAAUGGGAACAACGGAUCCUGACGUGCAUAUCGAGCCAUUUGAUUAAUCAAUUAGAUAUUAUCGCACGUUUGAAGGACUUGUCAAGUGAAAACUUCUUUGCACUAAUCCUAACACAAUAAACACUUAGUGCCAAUGGUUACAAUGUUUCUCUGGACGGGAUUUAUAAACUCGUAGGGUGACCUUUCUGAUUGUGUAACACCUCUCAAUUUUACCGCCCAGAAGAAAACAACCAAACCAUAACUGGCUGAUACUUAGCUGGAAUUACAUAAGGUCAAGAAUAGAUAACCUUGGCCGCGAAUACAUUGUCAAGUCACCAGAGUGGAGGUAGUGUUAGAAGAUGGACGAAUACGACUUAAAGUUCUUGGCUUUAUAAGGGCUUUGUUUAAUUAUGGAUGGUAAGAUUUCAUGGGAAUUUGGGGCUAGAAUAGGCGAACAACAUGAACGGAUUGCUGAAUAGGCUCGGUCAAAAAUAAUUGGGGGGGGGGGGAGGGAAACUCCUAGGAUGGUUCAUGGUCGUGUCUCAGUAAAACCACGAGUAUGAUAAAUACACUGAGAAAUAUACUUAACCGUUGAAGAGCAUGACUGUGGAGCAGGGGGUCUCGAUCGAGAGGUUCCUCUUACAGACCCCUUUGAACACUUCCAAAGGAAAUAUUUGGUAAUGAGUGUGCCUAAGUACAACAUUUAAACCGAGCCAACAUUAAGGCUCCAUAUUUGCUUAAAGAGUCCAAUAAGGAUAAAAAAUAGAAAUACUUUUUUUCCCAAAAAGUCACGAUCAUAACACUAAUGAUGAUAUCCAGUUGAAGGACCCAUUGAAGAGUUUUGAUAAAGUAAGGGGAAGCGCUUGACCAAGUACACCCUGGGAAGGAGGAGGAAAAAAUAGGGAGGGAAUGGGAAACCUGAAACCUAAAAAACUCAACUUAAGAGGAAGCAGGCUGUCCCAGAAAAUAUCGAGAACAUCCCUGAAGAAAAGUAUUGAAGUCAUGUCCAUUGGAAAGAAGGCCAACCAAUGGGGAAAGUUUGGUACAAUGCUUAUGUAGAUUUGGUAAUUCGACGAUCGAACAAUCCUUCAAAAGGGAACUCUCAAAAGGAGGGACUAGUCGGAUGUGGCCUUCCGCACUCACAGACGCCAGCGAGCCAAACACUUGUCGCUGUUUGAGCACUCACACAGGUUUCAUACUUCGUAGUGUGGAGAAAGGACGUCUCAGACUUGAUGAUGUUUGAGGACACAAUGCAGUCUUCAUACUUGGGAGAGAAAGAAAGUCUCAGACUUGUGUAUUUGAGCAAUGGAAGUCCUCAUACUUUUAUGUGUGAGAAAGGAGUUUCAUAGUCCGUGGUCGUUGAAGCAAUAAAGUCUCAGCAUGUGUUUGAAUAAUGAAGUUAGACUUGUUGUUUAAAAGCAAGGAGCUUCUUAUACUUGUGUGUGAAGCAAAUAAGUCUCAUUGACUUUCAUGUGCUUGCAAAAAAUUUGCCAGAAUCUUAUGCCAUUAUACGUGAAAGUAUCUGUAAGUAACAAGGGGACUGAAUUCUCACGACUCGUCGAUUUAUGAGAGGAAUCAGGAUAACUUCGUGGUGUUGUUCUAUUCUUUCUUGCACUUGUAUAUCUGCUGCCUAUCUCUAAACUAACUCAAAUUUCGGUUAUAACAUUGAGUUUAGAAUAUGACUUAAGAAUUUAAAAAUAAGAAAUAACCUAACACAUUCAAUCCCCCUCCUUUAUUUUUCUCACUUCAUUUGGGCAUUCAGAGUACGGGUUGUGCUUACUCUAACAUCGCCGCGUACAUAAAGAGUCUUGAGAAAAUUAUUGAAACAUGUCUAUUAUUUAUAGACAAUCAUAUACAAGUGGUAUUUACUAUUCGCACGUGGCUAGUCUAUAAAUCUGCAUUAAGAAUAUAGAAAAGAAAAAUGAUUACAGCUAGACCUUCAACUUCAGUGGAGACUUUACAGAUUUCGAAUGGUGGAAUUUAAAGAUGUAUACUCAUAUUAUAGACCUGAUGAUGAGUUGUGGAUAUUCUUUAUAGAGGAUUGAUAUUCCAAUGAAUGACAGUUAGAGAAAAAAUAUCAAGGGAGUCGCGCAGAGAUCCCACUUAUGUGGGAAUCAUUGAGAGAGAAAUCUUGGCUGACUCUGAGAAGAUAUGCGGCUGAUAACCUCCCAUGAGAAAGUGGGAACAGUUAGACUUACGUCUAGGAGGUAAAAAUCCUCUGGGAAGGGAUCUCACAUAAAUACUGUAUCUCUAAGAGGAUAAGGGAUUUCUCACAGUAUAACAUUUACACACUCAAAGGAGACUAUGUUCAUAGUAACCUAACUACACUACGAAUCAAACCUACCCCGCACUUUCAACCCAGCAACACUCGGCCACUAAUAUGGCCCUUUACCGUCACCAAGUUUGAGUCCCUUAAACAGGCCUAAAAGCCACCCAACCAUGGGAUCUCGACGCCGUGAGUAAUCCCUCACUAACCCAAUGAUUAGAUGACAUCUUCUGCAGAUGGAACACACACACCUUGUCUUUUUUUAUCAAUACAAGUAUUAUGGGACUUGCUCUCCUUAUGUUGGCCUUUGUGAGGUAUGCAGAUUCCACGUCGUGUAGUUUCAAUCAGUUUCAAUUGCCUUCACAAUUUAUUUCAUCAUAAAAAUUGGCAUUAUAAUCACUUUCUAAAAUAUUAUAUUUUAUGUCCUCCGACUUUCUCUUGUGCAUGUAAGUCUGCUCAUUCCAGUAUCUGAUUUAAUCAGAUAUCACAUCUCUAUUGAUGUCUACUGUUUUUUGUUAAUAGAUUAUACAAUUUGUAGGGACUAUUGAAUGGUAUCAUAUGGAUAAUCAUUUUCCUACUUCUGUCUUGAUCUUGAGUCUUUUUUUGAACAUCGGAUGUGUUGAAGCAGGACGAUCCAAACACUUUUAAAAAUGCUCUUAUAGAUGGAUUUCUUGCACACUCAAACUCUCUUUGGCACUUCAUCUUCAAACUUUUUGGUGGAAAUUUAUUAAUAUAAGUUCUUGUAUUUAAUGCCUGCCUCACCCUAAAACACAUGGGUGUCGGGUUUUUGUCGCCUUUAACAUGCUGUUCUUGCCAUACAAAAAUGGUCAUGUUUCUCCUUUCUGCUAAUAGCAUUGUUACCAUCUCAUUGUGGUAGGGUUGAGGUUCAUUUAUUGCAUUAUAUUUUGCUAAUCAAUAUGCUUUCAAACUUAUUUGAAGUAUAUUCUCCACCUCCAUAUGUCCUAACAUACUUCUAAUUUCCUUUGGUUCACUCUCCUUCUCAACCAGACUUUAAUUUUUUGAAACUUAAAAUGCUUUCACUUUUUGAACUUCAAUGGUUGUAGAGCCAUAACAUUCUUGUCAGGGCUGACCCAAACAGAAUGGAGGUCAUGUUCUGAGUUUUAUAAGAGUCCGCUAAUAAAAUAAAGUCAUACACCAUCCACACAUCUACUUAAGAUUUUCUCUUUAAAAAUUAAAUAACUUUUAUUAGUAAUUGAUAAUAAUAGGAAUAGGUGUACACAAGAUAUAAAUGCAUUGGACGUGAAUUCAAAUCUGCGACAUACUCACUUAUUUAUAUUUAAAAGUGAAGUCUCAACUACCUAUACUAUUGAUAAAAAAUUAUGAUAUAUUCAAUUACUACAUUAGACUAGUGUUAUGAAUAACCAUNNNNNNNNNNNNNNNNNNNNNNNNNUGAUAGAUCAUUUUCCACAUGAAGCCGGUUAUAGUCACCUUAUUAAAAAUAAAAAUUAAUUUUAAUUUAAAAUAAGGAUGUUUUAGUAAUUUAAUAUAUAUGAAUUAAAAAUAAAUAAAAAGUUGAGGGGUGGUCGUGGCCUUCCCACGUCCCCCCUCAGUUCCGCCACUGAUAAUAAGGUGACUAUAACCGCUUCAUGUGGAAAAUGAUCUAUCAUGAUGAGGAUUGUAUGAUUGACUUAGAUGGUGUGUGAUGAAUUAAGGACCGAGAUCGUCUAUGAUAAAGAGUACGGAGGUUCUCUUUUCUAUUGUGUAAUCCUUGAUAGCGUUCGAUCUUAAACAUCCCGUAUCGGAUUUUCUAUUAUUCUAUUUUCAUGUGUUUUUUAGGGCAGUUUAUUUUAUCUAUUUAAAAAAUAAAAUUUAUUAUAUUUAAAUUUUUAAUAAUAUAUAUUUACAUUUAUAUUAUUAUAUAUUAAAUUUAUCAAUUUAUAAAAAAUAAAUCUAGAAAACAUUUUUUUAAAGAUAAACAGUAGCACUUAGUGUAAUUUUCCCAAAAAAAUUGAUUAAAAUUGAACUCCAUAGUUUUUGAGAUAUUUCCUUUUCAUAUAAAAAGUCCAUUUAAAAAAAUAUAUAAAGUGGCGGCUAAAUUGAUUGAUUGCUCCAACUUGAAACAUGAGUUGAAGCUCAAUAUACUAGUACAACUUAAAUACUAGUAUUUAUUAAAACAUUAAUUUAGAACCUUCCUCGUACCGUCCAAUGUUGACCGACCAAGAAACUUAUUCUUAAAAUAUGUGUAUUCAGAUACAUUGAAAAACGAAAAGUGCUUUAAAUAACUAACAUUUAUUAUCAUAAUUUUUUUAUAUAAUUUUUAAUUGUUGUUUGUGAAACUUGCCAUUGCCUUUACUCAAGUCAAUUUUAAAAAUAAUUUUUAUCUUAUUCUUUCUUUCAUCCAUUAUAUAGUGACAGAACCAAACAGUGUUGUAGAUACUGAACAGAGAAAGAGAGAGAUUCUGAAUUUUUAAAAAAUGGAGAAAGCAAUUGAAAGACAGAGAAUUCUUCUUGAACAUCUAAAUCCAAAUUCUUCAAAUUCUGUUUUCUCAUCCUCUCAUACUCAUCAAUCCACUGAUAUUUCUGUAAUUUUACAUGUUCUUAGCUCUUAUGAUUUCGUGUAGUUAUAUGUUGUGUUGUAUCUGUUGAUUAUAGAUUUUUUUUUUCAUUUUCAGGCUUCAUUCUGUUCUGCUGGAGAAACAGGUGGAUCUGAAAAUGAUGUGGUGAUUGUAGCGUAAGUUCUUUGAUUAUAUAUAGCAAUAUGAAUGUGAUUGAUAUUGGGACGUUUCAUAUUGAAAGCGCAUGUUAGGUGUUUGAUAUGUGUCUGUGUCAAUAACAUGAAAGAGACAAAGUAUAGUUAGAUUUAGUUGAUUCUUCUCAAAUUAGUACUAGUGUUGACGUGUGUCUGUUGUAUGUGUUUGUUGACGAAAUAUAGUUAGAUUUAGUUCAUUUCUUUCAGUUUUGUUUAGGGUUAGUAAUAAACUUUUGAGGUUAAUUUUACUGUGAUAAUGACCAGCGCAUAUCGUACGGCUAUUUGCAAAGCGAAGCGUGGGGGGUUCAAGGAUACUCUUUCGGAUGAUCUACUUGCUUCAGUUCUCAAGGUAACUUUCUUUGACUAAUCAAUUGAGAUGAAAUAUGAGUGUACUAUUCAUUGAUAAGUGAGCAAUUGCCCAAGCAUGUUGUUGAAAACGUAGACUCAAUCUUGUGUUUUUGUGUGCGUUUAUUGACCAAACUCCGUGAAAAUCUUGUGUUUUUGUGUGCGUUUAUUGACCAAACUCCGUGAAAAUCUUGUGUUUUUGUGUGCGUUUAUUGGCCAAACUCCCUGAAAAUCUUGUGUUUUUGUGUGCGUUUAUUGACCAAACUCCGUGAAAAUCUUGUGUUUUUGUGUGUGUUUAUUGACCAAACUCCAUGAAAAUCUUGUGUUUUUGUGUGUGUUUAUUGGCCAAACUCCAUGAAAAUCUUGUGUUUUUGUGUGCGUUUUAUUCGUCUGUUUUCUUUAGAACCGGAGUUUUUGUUCUAACAAUUGUUUGAUGAGAAAAAUAAUGGAAAGGAUAGUGCCAACCACCAAGUAAGAAAAACGGUUUAGCGAACAUCUAUAACAGAAUUUAUCAAUGGUGGUUGGAUCUAGCAAAAAAGAUUUAAAAAUCCUUAUGCAUCAAUAGUAUUUGUUUUCUUACGUUUUUUGGUUCUUAUUCAUGAGUUUUCUGUAGGCUGUGAUAGAGAAAACAAACGUGGAACCUAGUGAAGUAGGAGACAUAGUUGUUGGCACAGUUUUAGGACCAGGAUCCGAAAGAGCAAUUGCGUGCAGAAUGGCAGCUUUUUACGCUGGUUUCCCUGGUAAAUUUCCCAUGCUUUAUUCAAUCGUUUAUCAAUCAUUGACAACAAGUAAUUAUAAAUGAACUCGUUGAAUGAAAAUCACUAAAUGUAGAGUUCACGUAGGUGAUUUCGUUUGGUGUUCUAAAAGUUUCCAAUAUUUGAUUAUCUCUUAAUUUCAACCAGAGACUGUGCCACUUCGAACUGUCAAUAGACAAUGUUCAUCCGGACUUCAAGCAGUAGCUGAUGUUGCUGCUUACAUAAAAGCUGGGUUCUAUGACAUUGGUAAGAAACUAAAAAUGAUUCUAGACUCGAUUUAAAAGCUAAAGUCCUUGAAGUUUCUUGGCUUAAUUUUCUUCCUCUUAUUUGAUGAAGGAAUUGGAGCUGGAGUGGAGUGUAUGUCACAAGAUAAUAUUUCAAGGAUCGUCAAAACUAGCUCAAAGGUACAUCGAAGUCGCACUUUUCAAAUUCAAAAUAAAUAACUUCUUCAGAAUAUCUUAUGAAAAUAGCUUACUACUUAUCUUGACUUUUUUAUUAUUUUAACAGGCGGAAAAUUUUGCACAAGCCCGGGACUGUCUUCUUCCGAUGGGACUCACUUCUGAGAAUGUCGUGCAACGUUAUGGUGUGACAAGGCAGGAGCAAGACCAGGCUGCUGUUAGUAUGAAAUAUGUUUUAGAUAUACUAUAAGAAUUUAAGUAAAGAUUAUUCAUGUGAGUUAACUCUUUUAAUCACGUGUAAUUAGGUCGAGUCUCAUAGGCGCGCUGCAGCUGCAUCAGCUUCUGGUAAAUUCAAAGAAGAAAUCAUUCCGGUUUCUACUAAGGUAAGUUCCAACUGCCAAAAAGAGUUUCCUUUUAGCAUUUGUGAUAAUAUUAUACUGAUGAUUUUGUUUAUGAAGAUUGUGGAUCCUAAAACUGGAGAGGAGAAGCAAAUUAUUGUUUCUGUUGAUGAUGGUAUCCGCCCAAACGCCAAUUUGGCUGAUCUCGCAAAACUUAAGCCUGCAUUCAAAAAAGACGGAACCACAACUGCAGGGAAUGCUAGCCAAGUUAGCGAUGGAGCUGCAGCAGUGCUCCUCAUGAAGAGAAGCAUCGCUGUGCAAAAGGGGCUUCCUAUUCUUGGAAUCUUCAGGUACACGAUAACGAUAUAUAUUCUAUAUCAUUUUAAAACUAGCGUGCAGACGGAUAGCAUCUGUUGUCCAUCUGUUCGCUUUUUUCAGUCUCUCGUUUUUCGUACCUUAUUUUUGCUUUGAUUAGGUCAAUAUAGGCCUCAUUUAAAAACAAUGAAUUCAAUGUUGCAGGAGUUUUUCUGCAGUUGGUGUAGAUCCAUCUGUCAUGGGAGUUGGUCCAGCUUUUGCUAUUCCAGCUGCGGUGAAAGCCGCUGGUCUCGAACUUGGUAACAUUGACUUGUUCGAAAUCAAUGAGGUAAAGUUUUAGCAGUUUUCUUUAUAAUAACCAAUGACAAUAGCUUUCUAUUCUACAUUUUCUAAGCAUUUAGCAAUUUGAUCGUCUUUUGUAGGCCUUUGCAUCACAGUUUAUUUAUUCCAGCAAGAAAUUAGGACUUGAUCCAACAAAAGUCAAUGUCAAUGGUGGUGCCAUUGCUCUCGGACAUCCUUUAGGCGCCACAGGUAAAGUUGAGAUAUUCAAGCCCGUAGUCGCGUGCUUUCUGUUUUUAUUUUCACUGAUAAGAUAAACGUUCGAGAAGGUUUAUAUUAGAAAUGCACCAAGAAAUCUUAAACUCGCGACAGUUGAACAGAUUGAUUUAUUGAUCUUUCUGAUGUGGGCGCUUACAACUGGUGAAUUUUUUCUGCUUCCUUUUAUAUCAGGUGCACGCUGUGUAGCAACUUUGUUGAAUGAGAUGAAGCGUCGCGGGAAGGAUUGUCGCUAUGGUGUGAUCUCAAUGUGCAUAGGUGAUUUCUUUUUAACUUUUCACUAAAUGACAUUCUAGAAAAAGAUUAUAAAAAAAAGCAUAUAAUUCAAAUAAAAGUUGCAUUAUUGAAUUGUGCAUCAUUUCAGGUUCUGGUAUGGGAGCUGCUGCAGUAUUUGAAAGAGGAGACUUUUGAGAAUUUAUAGAAGUUUAGAAUGGUUAGAAAAAUUAUCAAUCAUUUGUUACAAGUAUAUGCUUGAUCUAUGCAACAUUUGAAGUUGUGCAAAUGAAAUAAGGAAAACAGAAAAUUAAAAUAAAAGAAUAGAGUGGAACAUCAAUUCAUCAUAAUUCACUUUUAUCUAGAUGAAGUAAUUAAGUUGCUCCAUCUGUUGCUUUUUAUGUGUCCUUUUGAGGUUUUUGUACACUGAUCAAAGAAACUUGUUGUUUUGGAUUAAAUUAUGUUUUUUUUUUAAAAUAAUUUUUUAUUUGUUUUUUUAUUUUUUUAUUUUUUUAUUUUUUUUAUGAUAUAGUUCAUUAUCUUAUUGCAUCUACUUUUCUCGAAGUAAACAUUUAAGGUUAUAAACAAAAAAUAUGUACUUCAUGUAAUUUUAAACUCUUACAAAUAAGUAGUUCUUCAUUUUGGUGAAUAUCAAACUUUUAUGAAGACUUCUUGCAUGACAAUCACAUCCUGUCAAUUAAGAAGAUGCAUCUCCAACUUAACAUUAAGAAACAAUUAAUAAGUCCAAACAAUGCCAAAUACGCCAUAAGAUUUAUUUGGUAGCUUCGUCUUUUGCCACGUACCCUGCUAGGGAAUGAUUCAGUUUGUCGUUUUUUGGUCAAAAUAAUGUUCAAACCAAACUAACUGGUUUUUAGUCAAAAUAAUGUUCAAACCAAACUAAUUGGAAUGUCAAAACAAUUUUUUUUAAUGUUUUUCAAAAAUAGAACUCACUACUAGAAAAAACACGUUUAACCUCAGACACGAAAUGCAUUUAAUCUCGACUAUAGAUGUGAGGUAAAAAAAGGCGUCAUGAAAAGUGAAAGCUUUACCUAUCGAUUUUAAAAAAAUCGAUGGGUAAGUGAAAAGGUCAUGAAUUCGAUAUUCAGGGAGGCCUUUUUGAAAUUUUGAAAUGGCGAAAACACAUGUCCCAUCGGUUUUGUAAUUUCGUCGACGGAUAUACCAUAUUUUUACUUCGGUUAUCUCAUAAAAUUGAGUGAUAAAAUAAUUUUUGAGUUUAUUAAAACUAAUAUGGAUUGCUCAUUUCACUAAACCCUAUACUGAACAUAUAACUUCUAAAAAAUGGUUAGAAAUAUAAUUCUAUGAACAAUUGCAUUAUAUUUGAAGAACAACUUACACUGUUUAUGAUUUUUAAGCAUUAUGCAACUCAUCAUUAUUCUCAUGUUGUUUUAUGGUUAAAAUCUCUCAAAUGUUUCAAGUUCUUUAUUCAACAAUUCCUUUUCUACUAACUAAUCAUUGAAAACGUAAAAUUUGAUGCUUUGAAAAAUAAAUAAAUAUGGAAGAAAGUUGAACAAAAACUAGAAGUAUUGGAGAGAUUUUAUUAAUAAAACAAUGUGAGAUGAAUGAUGAGUUGCAGAAUCUCAAGUGCCUCAGAGUAGCAUCAAAUCUCAAGUGCUUUAUGAUUUUCUGGUUGAAUUGAGUGCUCCGGCCUGGGAAGAGUCAUCAUGCAGAUGGACUCUAUCUGUGGAUGUAUCCUAUAAUCUUAAAGGAAGUUGAGUCGGAAUAGUAUUGGACGGCCCGAGUGACCUUGUCUUGUAAUAUUCUUUAUGUUUUAAUUUUCAGGCUAGCAAUAACCAAGCGAAGUACAAAGCUUUAAUUGCGGGAAUGAGGUUGGAAAAGGAGGUUGGAGUAACACACUCGUACAAACUGACUCUCAGUUAAUCGUCAGCGAGGUCAAAGGAGAGUUUUAGACGAAGGAUCCAACAUUAGUCAUAUAGUUGCAAAAAUCUAUCAAGAUGUAUUAAACGUUUGUGGAAUUUGAGGUAGACCACAUUCCUAGGGAGACGAAUGUCAGAGUCGGCCUCUUAGCUCGAUUAGCGAGCACCAAAGAUUCCAAUUUAAACAAGAAGGUAAUUCAAGAGACCCUGGAGCACCAAGUAUGGAGGUUGAGUAAUGACAUUGGAUAAUGGAAGGGGAUGAAUGGUAACUAUCAUUCGGUAUUUGACCCAGAAUGAACUACCAGAAAAAGAGAUUGAGGCUAGGCACAUUAAAAGGAUAUCUGCUAGACACCUCAUCACUAAUGAUCAAUUAUAUAAGAUGGGAAAAUCAAAUCCUAUGUUAACAUGCAUUUCAGAAGAAGAUAUUGUGAUGGUCAUGAAAGAAGUCCACGCAGGGGUAUGUGGAAGUCACAUUGGAGGAAGAGGGUUAUCGGGAAACAUACUCAGAGCAGGGUAUUAUCGACCGAGUAUGCUUCAAGAUUGUGCAUAGUUCGUAAGCCGAUGUGAGAAAUGUCAAGUGUUUUCUCCCUUCAACCACUCUUCUACAAAAAUUUUGCAUUAUGUAUUUUCACCAUGGCCGUUUUAUGAGUGGGGUCAUACAUUAUGGGCCCAUUUCCCGUUGCAGCUGGAAAACUGAAGUUCUUGAUAGUAGUUGUUGAUUACUUCACUAAAUGGGUGGAGGCAGAAGCAGUGGUGCAGAUCACAAUGGAAAGGGUACGCCGGUUCUACUAGAGAAACAUAAUAAGUCGUUUCGGCCUUCUCGGGGGCAUUUUUUCAGGCAACGACACACAAUUUUCUAAUUCGUCAGUAGUAGAGUUUUGUAAGGAUUUGAGAAUACAAAAUCGAUUUAUUUCGGUGGAGCAUCCUCAAGCAAAUGGUCAGGCAUAGGCAUCAAAUAAGAUCAUUCUAUCUGGGAUGAAAAAGAAAUUGGAUGAAGAUAAGGGGUUAUGGGUUGAGUACUUGCACGAGAUCUUAUGGUCUUAUCAUACUAAACCUCAUUUGAUUACUCAAGAAAAUCCUUUCAUGAUGGUUUAUGGAGAUGAUGCAAUGAUACUGAUAGAAAUCAAUACUCCGACUUGAAGGCGUAUUGCUUUUGAUGAGAAUUCUAACUCAUACGGUCUGGAUAAUUCUGUAGAUCUAUUGGAUGAAGUCAAAGAAACAACCCACAUAAGGGAGUUGGCAUCCAAACAAAGAAUUUCCAAGAGAUUUAAUAUCAAAUAAGGCAAAGAGGAUUUCACAAAGGAGAUUUGGUGUUGAAAAAGGUGAUCGACCCUAAGAAGAAAGGCAAGCUAGCUCCGAAUUGGGAAGGACCUUUUCAUAUCCGUCAAAAGUUGAAUAAUGAGGCUUAUAAGUUAGAAAGUUUAGAGGGUGUUGAAAUACCCAGAGCUUGGAAUGUAACCAACCUUAAUUUUUAUUUUAGCUAAACUAUGUAAUAAACAUCAUGAAUAAAAUUGUGGGAAUGCACUCUUUUCCCAUGCAAGGGAAAGGGUUUUUAAUGAGGCAACCAUAGUUAAAACAAUUGUAUCGUAGAUUUCUAAAGCAGGCAAAAAGGUCCUAGGACAUGAACCAAGAUUAAGCCCAAAGCCGGUGAGUAAUCAUCUAAAGGCCAAGAACUUUCCAUAUAAUCAGUUGAGACUGAGCUAAGUUAAUUGAAACCUCUGGCCUAACUGAAGUCCAAGUUAAUUGAAACUUCUGGCAUAAUCGGCUACGGACGAGCCAAGUUAAUUGAAAUCUCUGGCCUAACUGAAGUCCAAGUUAAUUGAAAUCUCUAACAUAAUCAGUUGUGGUCGGGUUGAGUUAAUUGAAACAUUUAUUGAAGUCCAAGUUAACUGAAACCUCUGGCAUAAUCGGGUGCGGUUGGGCUAAGUUAAAUGAAACCUCUGGCCUAACUGAAGUCUAAGUUAAUUGAAACCUCUGGCAUAAACGGUUGCGACCGGGCUAAGUUAAUUGAAGCUUAUGGCCUAACUGAAGUCCAAGUUAACUGAAACCUCUAGCAUAAUCGGCUGCAGCCGGGCUAAGUUAAUUGAAACCUAUGGCCUAAUUGAAGUCCAUGUUAAUUGAAAUAUCUGGCAUAAUCGGUUGUGGCCGAGCUAAGUUAAUUGAAGCCUAUAGCCUAACUGAAGUCCAUGUUAAUUGAAACCUCUAGCAUAAUCAACUGUGGCCAGGCUACGUUAAUUGAAUCCUCUAGCCUAACUGAAAUCCAUGUUAAUUGAAAUCUCUGACAUAAUUGGUUGCAGUCAGACUAAGUUAAUUGAAACCUCUGGCCUAACUGAAGUCCAAGUUAAUAGAAACCUCUGACAAAAUUGGGUUUGACUGAAUUAUAAAGAGAAAUCCUUGGUCGGGAUAUGCUUAUCAUGGUUGGGGUCUUUGGUUUGUUAAUUAACCAGGGUUUUAUAAGUGCUCAAAGUUAUAUUAUCAUUUUGACCAUGCCUCAUAGAGGUACCCAAGUGGUCUAUCAAAUUAGAAAUAUCUGAAUUGACUUACCAUAGCCUUGCCACUAGUUGGUGAGUGGGGUUGAUUGAACCACUUAUGUUUAAAAAUUUAUUUUUAGCACUUAAGGCUUCUAUAAGGAACCACUUCAGAAAACCAAUUAUAAAUACAAAUUAUGAAAAGAAGACAACCAGUAACAUGGAACCAGAUACGAGAAUGUCAUAGAUGUUACAGAUCACAUCAGGAUCCGAAUACAAAACAAAAAGGAAAAGCGGACAACAUUCUUUAAACAUUACAAAAUGCAUCCUAAUGGAUGACUAACAAAAAAUGGAAUAGAAACAAGAUUAUUCUUCAUUCUUAUCCUCAUCAACAACUCAUAGGUUCGUGUCAUCAACACAGUCUUCCUUGGUUAGAUCAUUAGCGAGAGAAAGCUCAGUUUCUUCCAUACCCACGAGGCAACCAUCCACCAUAACUUUAAAAAGGCCCAUCUCGAACAAAUCAUGCUCGGAUGGAUGCACAUGACUUAAGCCUUUGCAAUGUCAAAAGCAUCAUCGCCUACAUCAAGAACGUCAAUUUCAGAUUUCUACAAGGCUUUCUGCAGUUGGUCAUUUUAUUCCCGAGUUAGUUUCAUCUCGAAUUUCUUAGUGACAGUGGACUAAAAUUCUUGACUCUUAGCCCCGACUUUUCCAUCUUUAUCUUCUCCUUCAACAAUUGUUUCUCCAGGCCAAAUAAUUUAUCCGCCUGCAUCUUCUGUUGUUUCUUCAGCUGAUUGAUCUCUUGGUUGAGUUUGAUCUUACUCUCUCAUAAUUCUCCCUGGAUUCAAACAGGCAUCAAAUCAGGACAACACAUCUCAUUAGAUAUGAGUUGAUGUUUUUGGUAAGUUUUUGCCAGCCUAUUAUCUUCACCUUGUUCACAUCUUCCAUGGCCUUCAUAUGGUCGUAGAGGAAUUUCAAUAUGUCAAACAUGUUACCCUAGAAUUUAAACUCAUUCUUAAUCCUCCUUUGCUAUAAUCCAAAAUUACUCAUCCCGUUGAAAUCACCUCAAAUUUCACUUCAGGAUUAAUUCUCAUCUGAUACCAAUUGUUAGAACAACAACCAAUAUAAAAGAUUAAAAAACCGAAAGUAAAAAUAAUGAAUAUUAUUGUUCUUUGUUAACAUAGUUUAGUCAAUAGUGCAUAUCAUUACUACUAGGACAUCUAUAGUAUAGUUUUGUUUUACUUUUAUAAUAAUUAAGAUUAAUAUUGCAAAUAAUAUAUAUAUAUAUAUGAGAUUAAUCGCUAUGCACUGUCAGUGUAAAAAGAUUUACACGGUCAAUUCAUCACCAUCAUCCGUUUGCAUUACUUUAUAGGUUUUUAAAAUAAAAGUCAAACUUAUUUCAAUAUCCAACGUCUAAGAUUAACUGACGAUGUAAAAUCCUUUUACACUGUUAGUGUAUUUCAAUUAUAUAUAAUACUACGACUAAAUUAGAAAAAUCCAAACAAAACUAUGUGCUUAUUCAAUUAUGAAUUUAAACUAAUCAAUAUCAACCAAUAAAAUCGACACUAAAUUCAAUUAGGAAGAUCCAAAUAAGGCUAUGUGCACAUCCUUUUCAUCAUCAAAGCCACAAAUAAUAAUAAAAUAGUUGAACUACUAAAUGCUUAUGUUGAACUAUAAUCACAUUCUUCUAAUUCAAGUAAUUCAUGAUAAACAUAUUCUAAAAACACUCAAAGACAGGUGCUUGUGUUAUUAAUAAACCAAACACUACAUUCUUAUUGUGAGUACUCGUGGAGCAAGCAGUCAUAUGAUCUGAAGCUUCAUCCUCCUUGUUCAAGUCAAGUACAUCACAUCAAGACACACACUAAUUUAACAAUUUCACGUUGAAAAGUGGAAGUAAUGAAAACAAAUAGAUACAAACUUUGAAUUUUUUUAAAAAUAAAAAUAAUUAGCGCAAGUUAAAAUUAUUAUCAAUUAAAAUAACAUUAAAAAUAUUAAAACAUUAAACUUUUACUUUAACAAAAUUAUUCAUAAAAAAAUAAAAAUAAAUUAAAAAUUAAACUAUCUCAACCUUACAAAAAAAAUUUAAGACUGAUAUUUAUCAAUUUAAAAAUGAUUUUGUAAUAAUGAAUUAAAUCGAUAUUUAAUUUUAAGAUGAUAUUAGAAUCUAUUAAUUCACACAACUCACAAUUUAUGUAUGCGCAAUAAUUAGACACCUCCAUUUUAAAAAUAAAGUUUAUAUAAACCAUUGUCGUUGACUUUCAACUUAGUGACAUCGAGUUAUUUUUUUAUCAAUUGAACUCAAAUUUGUCGAUGAUCCAAUUCUAAUUCUUCUAUCUUCCUUUUUAAUAUAUGUUUAAAAAAAUGUAUUUUAUAUUCUUUAUUAAAACUUUACUUGUCAAAAAAGUAUAAAAUAUUGGCAUCCCUAUGCUGGUAGGGGUGGCUAGAGGCCUUAGUAAUGUUAUGUGGGUUAGGACUUAUCCACGGUGGUGAAAGACCCUGUUUGAUG